rnacentral:rRNA from 1 species
ACCAGGUUGAUUCUGCCUGACGCAGAUGCUAGCUUCGGAGAUUAAGCCAUGCAUGCGCGCGAAGAAGGGAGCGGCGAACGGCUCAGUAAUACUGCGAUGAUCUGCUCUUUGCGGAAGAUAACCACUGGACACGGUGGCUAAGGCGGAGAUUGAGACGCAGUCCUAUCAGCUUGGAUGGUAGUGUAAAGGACUACCAUGGCGACGACGGGUGACGGGAGAUGAGGGUCUUGUACCGGAGAGGGAGCCUGAGAGAUGGCUCCCACGUCCAUGGAUGGCAGCAGGCGCGAGAAUUGCCCACUCUCAGAUGAGGAGGCAGUAACGAAGCGUGGGCGGCGCGGGUGUAAAAAGCCUGCGGCCCGACUGGAGGGCAAGUUUGGUGCCAGCAGCCGCGGUAAUACCGACUCCAGGAGUGUCUGUGGUGGAUGCUGCAGUUAAAAGGUCCGUAGUCGAGCGGCAGUGACAGGGCGUGAGGUCAGAGACGCAGUUGCUGUCGAGAGUAGCGGAGCGGGCAGGGUGCGCGGAAUGGUUGGGCGAGCGAUGAAAUGCCAGGACCCCAGGCGGACGAACGGAGGCGAAGGCGGCGCACUGGGACGCAUCUGAGGAUCAAGGACGAAGGCUGGAGGAUCGAAGGCGAUUAGAGACCGCUGUAGUUCCAGCAGUAAACGAUGCCGACAACGCGGCGCGAGGCGUGGCGAGGGAGAAAUCGUAGUGUACGGGCUCUGGGGAUAGUAUGCUCGCAAGUGUGAAAAUUAAAGAAAUUGACGGAGCUACACCACAAGGAGUGGAUUGUGCGGCUUAAUUUGACUCAACGCGGGACAGCUUACCAGGGCCAAGCGGUGCAGAGAGCGGAGACGCGAGUGCCGUGGGAGUGGUGCAUGGUCGCUGGAAACCGGUGGGGCGACCCGAUGCUCAAGUGCAGGAACCGGUGAGACCCAUAGACAGGUACCGGAGCGGUACAGGAAGGACGGGCGAUAGCAGAUCAGUGAUGCCCUCAGAUGCCCUGGGCGGCACGCGCAAUACAAUUCCAGUGUGCAGAAAAGCGAAGUAUCUGGAGGGGACUGGGGCCUGGGAGGGCGCCACGAACGCGGAAUUCCUAGUAACGGCGGCUCAUGAGGCCGUGGUGAAUGUGUCCCUGUAGCUUGUACACACCGCCCGUCACUAUCUCAGAUGGUCGUUGCGAUGAGGGACGGGAGUCCCGAAUCGCUAGGACUAGAUAAGAUGUAAGUCGUAACAAGGUAACCA